rnacentral:pre_miRNA from 1 species
UCUGGGAUUUUUUAUAUUGGUAUUGACUUUGGAAACUACCAAUAUAAAUCAUUCUAGUAC